rnacentral:lncRNA from 1 species
AUUUUUGGAUUGAUCUUUACUUCCAUUUUUUAAGCCCAAUACAAUCCUUCAUUUAAACCCAACCCAAAUUAACCCCUACCCAACCCCAAACCGGAUUGACCCAACCCAAUCCAAGACCCAAAUCAAUUUCCUAACCUAAAAACCUAUACACACAACACUAUACAGGGAUACACGCCUGGAAGCGCAGUUGGGGGGUCUUCUGCUUCACACACAGAUGCGCCUAUACAAAAGAGGAAGCUGAACAGCCUUGGCUUCUUCACAAAAAAAAAAAAAAAGAACACACACACAAUACAUAUACACAUACAGGCACAAUAUAGAAGGGGAGCGAGGAGGCUGGGAAUUAAAGAAGCUGCGCAUCUUUGCCUUCUUCUUCGUCUUCACAAAAACACACAGACCAUCUCGAGCUUCAACCCAAACGAACCUCGCCGGAAACCAGUCGCCCAGCGUUGUCAAUUCUUCUCCCACACAUCAGACCUCAUAUUCAACCUUGCAACACCCUAGCUGAACCCUAGAGGACUCCAGGCAACCAACAGCCGGCAUCCCAACAUCACAAAAUCAACCAGUCGCCCAUCUCCACAAUGAAAAAACGAUCUCAUCUCCACCUCAAGUUGUCACAACCACAGCUCCAACGACCACACGCACACAACAGUCAUCAUCGGAGCAGUUGCUGAUAUCCCUCAUCACCAUCGUUCUCACACGCUCUACUUCUAUGUCGGAUGGGUGUAGUUUUAACAGGUUAUGGAUUUUGUAACAUUUUUGUACUUGAGUUUGGCCAGAAUCAGUUCGUCAACGUCCCGUCAGCAUGUGUCGUGUGGCUGUAGUUCUAGUAUCUCCAUCGUUAUAGUAGUAACGUCAUUGGUUCGGAUGAAUAUCGAGGUUUGGAUCGUAGUUCCGUCGAGGUUUCCCUUCUGGGUCCGGUGAUUAAUUUUGCUUUUCUGCGCUUGAAAAUUAGUGUAAGGUUCAUUUACUUCGUUCUCAUUCUGUUUUGAUAUGAUCAUAUAUACUGUGACUAUGCAUUUUGUUCCUCCGGUAAAUUUAUAUGAAAUAUGUUUGUUUGUUUCUUUAUUUGUCUCUUCUGAUUGCAUUAUUGUGUUUGUUUUGUUUCCAUUAAAGUCACAUAUUGUACAGUAAUUAUUUCUAGUACUGUUUGAUGAUAAUGGAGUGAAGGAAC